rnacentral:RNase_P_RNA from 1 species
GUGGAUGAUCGGGUAAUCGCCCGCCUGCGCCAAGGCUUCGGCGGGCAAGUUCUAUAAUUGGGACUUGCUCACCGAAGCUUUACGCGUAGGUGAGAGGAAAGUCCGAACACCUGCGAGCAUUGUGCUUCCUAACGGGAAGAUUCGGGAAACCGGAUAGCCAGUGCCACAGAAAAUAUACCGUCCGCCAGCCGGCGGAUAAGGGUGAAAUGGCGGGGUAAGAGCCCACCGCUCUGGUGGUGACAUCAGAGGCAUGGCAAACCUCACAAGGUGCAAGUUCACGCAGGCUGUGCGCUGCUCGUCGCUAUACGGCCGGGUGGAACGCUUGAGCCCGUGGGUAACCGCGGGACCAGAUAAAUGAUUACCGGCCACAUUUAUUGUGGCUUACAGAAUUCGGCUUACAGAUCAUCCAAACUA